rnacentral:rRNA from 1 species
CCUACGGGGGGCAGCAGUGGGGAAUAUUGCACAAUGGGGGAAACCCUGAUGCAGCGACGCCGCGUGAGUGAAGAAGUAUCUCGGUAUGUAAAGCUCUAUCAGCAGGGAAGAAAAUGACGGUACCUGACUAAGAAGCCCCGGCUAACUACGUGCCAGCAGCCGCGGUAAUACGUAGGGGGCAAGCGUUAUCCGGAUUUACUGGGUUUAAAGGGAGCGUAGACGGCAAUGCAAGUCUGAAGUGAAAUCCCAGGGCUUAACCCUGGAACUGCCUUGGAAACUGUGUAUUUGGAGUGCAGGAGAGGUAUGCGGAAUUCCUGGUGUAGCGGUGAAAUGCGUAGAUAUUAGGAGGAACUCCAGUGGCGAAGGCGGCUUACUGGACUGUAACUGACGUUGAGGCACGAAAGCGUGGGUAGCGAACAGGAUUAGAUACCCGUGUAGUC